rnacentral:rRNA from 1 species
GGAGGGGGGGCUAGCGUUGUUCGGAAUUACUGGGCGUAAAGCGCGCGUAGGCGGGGGGCUGGUCAGUUGGGGGGGGGUGAAAUCCCGAGGGCUCAACCUCGGAACUGCCCCCAAUACUACCAGUCUUGAGUUCGAGAGAGGUGAGUGGAAUUCCUAGUGUAGAGGUGAAAUUCGUAGAUAUUAGGAAGAACACCAGUGGCGAAGGCGGCUCACUGGCUCGAUACUGACGCUGAGGCGCGAAAGCGUGGGGAGCAAACAGGAUUAGAUACCCUGGUAGUCCACGCCGUAAACGAUGGGUGCUAGUUGUCGGGCGGCAUGCCGUUCGGUGACGCAGCUAACGCGUUAAGCACCCCGCCUGGGGACUACGGUCGCAAGACUA